GGAAGUGGGAGCGAGGACUCAGAUCCUUUCGCUAGCCCACUUCACCGGGGUAGUGCAGAAGCCAGGAAAGUUCCCACAAUAGCGGGAGCAUUCCCCGACUUACAUCUAGAAACCUAGCUUUGGAAAUGUUAGAAUCUCUGUAGUAGUCUCAGCCCCUAUCUCAGUUUUGGCGAGGUCACUUUUCCUUUGUUGGAUGAAUAUGUGUAGUUCAGUGGCACAUCUGAAAACAAAACAGUGCUGGGGCCUACCACAGCCUGCAUCUUAACACACCCAAUAACUUAAAAUUACAGCCUCCAAAUGCAUUCUAGAAUGUCACUGGAGAAACUGCUGGGGAAAAUUUAUUCCCAGGGCAUGUUGUCUCAGGUCAGCAACAUGUGCUUCAACAUCAGCAGGCUCUGCUUCCUUUUUCAGUUUCCCCACUGGAGUCUGGAGCAGUAAGAGCACUCUUAUGCAGCAUGUCCACGGGACUGGAGCAGGGAACAUUUUAAAUCAAGGAGUCCCACCUGCUAAUGUGAGGCAUUAUUGCCGCAACUGAGUUUGGUAGCUCAGGAAUUUCUCUCUCAUGGAAGGGCAUUAGAGCAGCCACAUUCUGUCCCUGGCAUUUUUAUAGCCUCUGGGACACCCCAGUAAUAAUACUCUGAGAUUCCAAUUUGGUUUGAGGCCCAGAAAAUCUGGAGUAAAAUCCUGGUCUCAUUGAAGUCUAUGGGAGUUUUCCAUCAAUGGAGCCAGGAUUUCUCCCACUGACUUUCAUCUAAGUGUAGCCUUACAGUUGAACUUCCAGGAUUUCUAGGGCUAUUUUUGAGAGCAACAGUGUUCUCUUAAGUGCUGUUUGAAAUAAUUAAUAUGUAUUUACAAUCUUAACUUCAGUUUAAUGGAAGGUUGUUUUUUAAUUUGUUUUUGCCUGGGGAUAGGAUUAACCAUUGCUCUUUAAGGAAUGCUAGAACCAGUCUCCCUCCUACACGCCCAGUUUGUGACUGGUACAUUAGCUAUAAUUAGCUCAGCCUUUGCUUGGCAUGUUUUGAAAAGAAAGAAGACUGUUGUGACCUAAACAGCUCAACCACAAAUUUAAUCUGGAUACUUUUUCAAAGUGUGUGUGUUUCUAUUUGCUGAAUUCCUUUCCAGUGCCCUGCUGGCUUUGUCAUGCUACAGUUUGCUAUUUGUUCCCGUGUAGGGACCUUUGCUAGGGCAACAUAGAGCCCCUGUGAGUCUUCAAAAGCAUGAAUUAACUUUGAUCUGUGGUUCUCUUACUCAGCAAACUGUAUGGACAGGCGCCGAGCUCUUCCCAAAUCAGAAAUGAUUGCCACUGCAGCCAGAUAGGAUACAAAUAAAAUCACCCUGCUUGAUGGCAAUCCAGAUCUUCAGAGAGAAGCUGCUGGAGUGGCCUACAGGCACUGGGAAAAAAUAUUAAGAAUUCCCCUUAAUAGAGGGCUGGUUUGCAUUGGGAAACAUAUGGGUUGGUGGUAACAAAUGGGGCUCAGCCCAGGUCAGCUGGUUGGAGGAGGUAUUAACCAGUUACUGAAAUGAUGGUGAAGUCAGUUUGUCCCCAGCUGUGUUUACUGAGACUGCAAGCUCUUUGGGACAGACACUGUCUUUCUGCUUUGUGUGUGUACGACGCCUAGAACAACAGGGCCCUCAUCCCUGCCUCUUGGUGCUGCCGCAAUACAAAGCAAUACAAAACUCUGGCAUGUUGGAGAACGAAUUGUUUGUGCUGCUGCCAGGGCGGUCAGGCCAUUUUGAGCCUGGGAUUGGGGUGAGAGCCAGAGCGCCGCUGUGUUACGUGUCUGGAGUAGAGGAGGAGGGAUUAUGGUCCCAGAGAGCACCACUGAUUGUUGCUUCGCAACUCUAGAGCUGAGUUCUGUUUGGUUUGGCUUUUGUGUUGUGAACUCUCUUGGUUUCCUUUACCGGUGACUGUUUCUCGGAGCAGCUUCCAUGACAACAGGGAGAUGAAGCCAAAAUAAGUGAAUCAACCAUAGGAAAGGUUCUGACUGGUGGUUGCUCUCAUGCUUGGAAUAAUAGCUAUUAGAGAAACACUUAGGGAUUGACACACACUGUGUCCUCCAAAUGCAGGCCAAAGUGUGGCUGUUUGGCUACUCUCUGCUGCUGGUGUGGAGACACACAUUUCCCUAAAAGGAGCUCCCUGACCUGAGCGCACUCCCUCAGCUAUGAUGACCACAGGCCAAAGUAGCCUGUUCGGCCCUUCAAAAAUGUGCAGCACCAAGCACAUCUGAGCCCUGCCUGUGAGCAUGCUCAGUACAAGUUAUAUGUGGCUGUGGCCCCUCUCUCCCCUCCUGCCUUGAGGAGACUGACCCUACUCUUGGUGGUUGUCCAUGAGCAGGCAGCCUGCCCUUGCGCUAUUCAAGCCAAUGGGAGUUUUGUUGCUAGCUUCAGUGGGAGGAGGAUUGGUCCUGGGCAGUUUGAGGACUACAACUGUGACUAGCCCCUGCCAAGGUAGGAAAGCUGCAGAGUACUAAUCAAAGCAGCCCUAUGGGAUUGUUGUGGGGUAGGAGGGCAGAGAGAGAGUGUGUGUAUAGACAGACAGAUAUGUUGCGCCAGACCCUAUCCCUUGUAAAGGCAGUAGUGCAGAACAGCUUAAAGCCAGCUUAACUAGCCAGUUGGGGAAUUGCCCUGGUGUGGAGGUAUGACAUAAUGGGAUGCAAUCCAGAUCAAGGAGGAGCUGUGUCAGCCCCUGCCCUGCAAUCUUGGGGGUCUCCCAAUGCUUUGCUGUUGUAGCUCCCACCUGGGUUGCUCGCAAACAGCCUGCUAGCUGUCCAGUCACACUCUGGCUUCCUAGCCUGGGUGAUGACACACAGGGUGACCCCAACACACUCUCCGUCCCUGAUUCUCCUGAAAAACAUGUUUAGCACUGUCCAACUUUCUUAGUCCAGAUAUAUUAAAUCUGUUGCCCCUCUAAGGGAAUCAAGGUACUUCAGCUUGCCACCUCAAAUGGAAUUACCCAAACAAUUCACAAGAGUGGAUUAGUUUUGAUUAAACAAUAGAACAAGUUUAUUUAAAUUCAAAGAGAUUUUAAGUGAGUACAAGGCAUUAAAGUCAGAAAUGGUUGCAAGAAAAUGAACGGAAGUUUAUUUAAGCCUAAGUUCUUACCACAGGUUUUCAGGACAAUCCCGACCAAAUUCUAAGGCCAGGAUCUGCUCAACAGCUAUUUUUUUAUUGUUGUCUUAGUAGAAAAGAGUGGGAGAGAUAACUUGGGGGGUUUUUUUGCCCUUACUUUUAUCGUUCAAUCACUCUUUGAAAUGCGUUGUCCUGAGAAUGACCUCUAGAUAAAGUUCUCUCCCGCUGAGAGCAAGGAGACAUGAAUGAAGUCUGAUGAAGAGGAGGUGUUAUGCUGUUUCUUUUCACCUGUGUAUGCUGAAAUGCAGAUUUUCUUUGUCUUCUUUCUUCGUGCUCUUGCUGUUUGAGAUUCAUUACAACUUAUUUGCAAAUUGAGGUAUACACACAUCCCUUUGUUUAAGACAGGUUUACCUAAUUGACCAGUUCUACCUAAUUGGGGCUACAUGAGUUUGAACAUGCCUUUAACAUCAGGCAUGGGGGAUUUCAUAACUUUACACACCAUGUUGCUACGUACAUUUCACCAUAUUGACCAUUGAGUUGUUAGUUUUCAAAUGAAAGCUCACAAGGCAUAUUUUGUACAAAUAUCAUUACAGUAGUGUGUAGGGUGUGAAUACAGGGGUGCAUUCAGUUACCGGGGGAAUCCUUCUGGCUGGAUGUGAUCACCAGCCAGGUGUACAGCCAGCUAUACUAGCUAGAGUAUUAUGUCUUAAUUGGUUAAUUUAACAGUGUUAUUAGAUCUAUGAGAGCUAGUCAAAAAUUGGAAUUUCCAUCCCAUGGGGAGUGAUAUUUCAAAUGUGUUUUCAUCCAGAAGUGGGAUGAAUAAUAGAAAUAUCAGUCGUUGUUUUCUUGUGGAAUGGAAAGUUCAGAAAAACUAUAAUACAGCAAUGUCAAAACGUUUCAUUUCAACUUGGUUCAGUAUUAAUCUGUGUCACCUUGAGCUGCUGUGGUGCCUCAUGGGAGUUGUAGGUCAGGUGCCACAUAUCCCCAUUCUCCUCUCUGGUUUAGACUGUACAUCUUCCAUGAUGCACCAUGGUCAUGGGACUCCCAUGAGGUACCACAGCUGUGCCCCUGGAAAAUGUUGAUUUUGUGGAGAUUGCAUUUCCCGUUGAAAACGCAUUUUGAUGGUGAAUUUCCGACCAGCUCUAAUAUCUAUCUAUGCAUAUGGCCCCAUCACCAUAGACCAGCGGUUCUCAAACUGUGGGUCGCGACCCUGUUUUAAUUGGGUUGCUAGAGCUGGUGUUAGGCUUACUGAAGCCCUGUGAGCCCCACCACCCAGGGCUGAAGCCCGAGCGCAAGCCCCACCGCCCAGAGCUGAAACCUGAGCCCUUGAGCUUCAGUCCUGGGUGGAGGGGCUCAGGUUACAGGCUCCGCCUGGGGCUGAAGGCUUUGGAUCCCACCCCUCUCCUGGGGUCAAGUAGCAAUUUUUGUUGUCAGAAGGAGGUCGUGGUGCAAUGAAGUUUGGGAACCCCUGCCAUAGACUCAUGGUGAUGAAUAUCUGAGCCCUGCACAAAUAUCAAUGAAUUUAUCCCACAACACUUCUCUGAGGAAGGGCAGUAUUAUCAUCCCCACUUUAUAGGCAGGGGACUGAUGCACAGGAGUAGAUGACUUGUCUAAGCCACUCGAGAUGCCAGUUGCAGACCUAGAUUUCCCAAGCCUCCUGCUUUCUCAUCUGUCCAAAUGCUGCCAUUGCCUAUGUCUCAAAAUGCAUCAUCACACUGGACUUCUGCCUGGAAACAGAAAUAGGAGUAAUAUUUAGGACUUAUUUACACACAUUUCUCUUUGCAACACCCUAGGUAGGCAGCCAAGAAUUAUUAUCCCCAUUUUACAGAUGAGUAAGCUGAGGCACACCAGUGGUGACUGGCCCAAGACAACAGAACAAGCUGAUGGCAAUGCUGGGAUUAGAACAUUAGUGUUCUUGGUUCCUAUUCCCAAGAUAAAGCCACUAGCCCACGCUAUUCCUGAAAUAGCUAAUAGUGCUCCGGAGCUUUCUUUAAUUAUAACUUUGAAGAAAUAUAACUGUGACAAUGGCCACGUGGAAAAAUAAGAAUCUUAAAAUAAUAACUAUGAGUGGAUGUGUGGCACGCUCUAUGUCAUACAAAAGCUCUCCCUCUAUCUCUUCUGAGUUUGGCAGUAUCUGGUAGAACUAUGCUCCUAGUAGCUCUCUUUUUUAUAACCAUGACUACAAGAACUUAGAUAACGUGAAUAAAAUGGUAACUUGAUGCCCUGACAGCAAACCAUGUGAUUGCAAAGAACAAGCUCAACUGUGGUCAGGCAACAAGCAGUGACAUGGUUGGCUGCCGUGAAAGGCAUUACAGAAGACAAGUGUUUGCUGUUCCUUUAAAUGUACUCGAGAGGAAGAUCAAAGACCAUAUGAAGUUCAAAGGUUGUCUCGGAGGUCUCAGAUGCUAUAUUUGGGGUCCAGGAUGGCUGGGUGGUGGUGCCCAGGCCACAAAGAAUGGUGUAAGACAAGAGUUGGAGCCCUAUAGACCCAGAGCUAGAAGCGAUACUAGACUCUACCCAGACCCAGCUGGAAGCACGAGGGACCCAGCAAAUGGGUCCACUCACAACAGACUGGUGACUGUUUUUGGAAAGUUUUUGGAAAGUGUAGGGGACAAUUUCCUGGUGCAAGUGCUGGAGGAACCAACUAAGGGCAGAGCUCUUCUUGACCUGCUGCUCACAAACCCGGGAAGAAUUAGUAGGGGAA